rnacentral:tRNA from 1 species
GCCCCGGUAGCUCAGUCGGUAGAGCAGGGGACUGAAAAUCCCCGUGUCGGCGGUUCGAUUCCGUCCUGGGGCA